CCUACGGGAGGCUGCAGUGGGGAAUAUUGCACAAUGGGGGAAACCCUGAUGCAGCGACGCCGCGUGAGUGAAGAAGUAAUUCGUUAUGUAAAGCUCUAUCAGCAGGGAAGAAAAUGACGGUACCUGAGUAAGAAGCCCCGGCUAACUACGUGCCAGCAGCCGCGGUAAUACGUAGGGGGCAAGCAUUAUCCGGAUUUACUGGGUGUAAAGGGAGCGUAGACGGCAGUGCAAGUCCGGAGUGAAAGCCCGGGGCUCAACCCUGGGACUGCUCUGGAAACUGUAAAGCUGGAGUGCGGGAGGGGCAGGCGGAAUUCCUGGUGUAGCGGUGAAAUGCGUAGAUAUCAGGAGGAACACCGGCGGCGAAGGCGGCCUGCUGGACCGUAACUGACGUUGAGGCUCGAAAGCGUGGGGAGCAAACAGGAUUAGAUACCCUGGUAGUC
rnacentral:rRNA from 1 species